rnacentral:tRNA from 1 species
CUCAGUGGUAGAGCGGUCGGCUGUUAACCGAUUGGUCGUAGGUUCGAUUAUUAUUUUUUUUA